rnacentral:rRNA from 1 species
CAGGACGAACGCUGGCGGCGUGCUUAACACAUGCAAGUCGAACGGUAAGGCCCUUCGGGGUACACGAGUGGCGAACGGGUGAGUAACACGUGGGUGAUCUGCCCUGCACUUCGGGAUAAGCCUGGGAAACUGGGUCUAAUACCGGAUAGGACCAUGGACUUCACGGUUUGUGGUGGAAAGCUUUUGCGGUGUGGGAUGGGCCCGCGGCCUAUCAGCUUGUUGGUGGGGUAAUGGCCUACCAAGGCGACGACGGGUAGCCGGCCUGAGAGGGUGUCCGGCCACACUGGGACUGAGAUACGGCCCAGACUCCUACGGGAGGCAGCAGUGGGGAAUAUUGCACAAUGGGCGCAAGCCUGAUGCAGCGACGCCGCGUGAGGGAUGACGGCCUUCGGGUUGUAAACCUCUUUCAAUAGGGACGAAGCGCAAGUGACGGUACCUAUAGAAGAAGUACCGGCCAACUACGUG